UGCGGAACUACCUGUUUGUUUAGUUAUUAUUUAUUUAUUUUAUGGUUAUUUUAGCACUAAAAUUGUUGUGUACACGUCAGCUCUUUAAAAAGCCCGAAAACUCAGGACACUGACCCAAGAAAAGUCAAGAGUUUAAUGCGAUAUCGUCAUGCGCCCAGAUCCCAGCAAUUACCCUGCUUCCCUUCUGCGUUUGCUCUGAGCGGUGCUUUGAUGUCACGGUGCCGGCCCAGCACAGCUGUCUAGACCAGUAUCAAAGGAGUGAUUCAAGGACGAGAGAUAAGAAGACAAACAGAGGAAGAGAGCGAAUCCCUCCAGGUGCCAGUGGCAACAGGUGGAAGAGGACAACCCGUGGAGUGCCAGUACGGGUCCUUGACUGAUGUGGACGACGCCAAUAGAGACGAACCUGCCUCAUAUUUCCCCAGCAUGGCAUCUGUCCAAGGGAUUUGGCAAGCUCGUCCUUUUGUGUGGAUGGGUUUUCCGGACAGACAUCCAGGGCUGGUGAUUUUCCACAUGGCGGCAGGAAGCAUAGUAUGGUGUGCUCUGUCAGCUGGAGAUUUACAGGCAAGUAGCAGAGUCCCCACAGUAGUGCCUGCAUUUUACGUGGUACAGGACAUUUCUUUCUAUAUCCAUUUAGCAGCGGUGGUUUUUGUCAGUCCGUGAGCAAUAUAUAUAAAAAAAAUGUACUACUGUGAAAUGCUAUGACAAAGAGCAAUUGGUUUAUUUUACUACUAAA